UGCACUCGCAAGAACAAACAGGCCGAUUAAUGACAGUUUCUAUGGCUGUCUACCAGCAGUUAACUGUCAUAUUUUGAAGCGUUAAAACUUCUUGUAAUUAGUGGCUCUCAUAUGUUUUAGUGUCUCUGUUGGCAAUUAAUAGGAGACGCUAAAUGCCAAGUCAAAAUUAGAUGGGAAAAUGAUUACACCCUUGUAAUUUGCUCAACUUUAC